UUUCCGUAGGUGAACCUGCGGAAGGAUCAUUAAAGAGUAAGGGUCUUCUAGGCCCGACCUCCCAACCCUUUGUUUACCAAACCAUUGUUGCUUCGGCGGGCCCGUCCCAGGACCGCCGGAGGACCGUCAAACGUCCUCUGGCCCGCGCCCGUCGAUGGCCCCUAUCAUUAAACUCUGAACCAAACGUGUCCUGUCUGAGUGAUUAUUAUCAAAAAUUAAAGCAAAACUUUCAACAGCGGAUCUCUUGGUUCUG
rnacentral:misc_RNA from 1 species